rnacentral:rRNA from 1 species
GAUGAACGCUAGCGGCAGGCCUAAUACAUGCAAGUCGGACGGGAUUGGAGAGCCUGCUUUCCAUGAGAGUGGCGCACGGGUGCGUAACACGUAUGUAACCUACCUUGUUCAGGGGGAUAGCCUCUCGAAAGAGAGAUUAAGACCGCAUAACAUUGCGAUGUGGCAUCACAUUGUAAUCAAAUAUUUAUAGGAACAAGAUGGGCAUGCGGAACAUUAGCUAGUUGGUAAGGUAACGGCUUACCAAGGCUACGAUGUUUAGGGGAUCUGAGAGGAUGACCCCCCACACUGGUACUGAGACACGGACCAGACGCCUACGGGAGGCAGCAGUAAGGAAUAUUGGUCAAUGGGCGGAAGCCUGAACCAGCCAUGCCGCGUGCAGGAAGACGGCCCUAUGGGUUGUAAACUGCUUUUGCAGGGGAAUAAACCUUGGUACGUGUACCAAGCUGAAUGUACUCUGAGAAUAAGGAUCGGCUAACUCCGUGCCAGCCGCCGCAGUAA